rnacentral:lncRNA from 1 species
GUUAUAUUGAUCAAAAUGGAAAGAACACCGGAAAGAAUAACAAUAGAUUGGAACAAUUGUGCAGAGACAAAUAUCCUUCUCAGUCACUGGCUUUGUAAUCAGCUUGUUUCAUAAAGCUGAUGAAGAGUGUCCACCAGCCCAAGUACCAGUAAAUUAUCUGGGGAACUACAGGUCUGGCAGCCUGACCUCAGUGCCAGGUAUUCUGACACCUCAAACCAGACACAAGGAGACAGAACAGUAAAUUCACAUUGCAGAGGACUUUGAAAAUCAGCAAUUUUGUUUAAAUUGCAAACUGCAGUAAAACAUAAUUGCUAAGCUAUCCACAGAACAGAAACGUGAAAAAUGUUGUCUUGCUGAUUUCAACAGACUAAGUGCAGGCUUCCAGUUUCAAAAUCUUCUGGGUUUGCCAUGGAACCUGAGGCAUGUUUGCUUCCUUUUUGCCCAUGUAUUGGGAUACUCGAGGGACAAGACAUGGGGGGAGAAGGCGUAUGUGAGUCUCCUACAAAAAAUCCUGGAGUCUCCUUCUCAAGAGUGCUGCCAAUAUCUAGAAGAAUCUUGGUAUUCCUAGAAAUACUAAGAAAAUUCCUGGAAAAAAAAAAAUGCUUAUUAGGGCUGUCAGGAGGCCAAGAUACCAGAAGCAG